rnacentral:rRNA from 1 species
ACGAACGCUGGCGGCGCGCUUAACACAUGCAAGUCGAGCGAGAACCCAGGGCCUUCGGGCCUGGGACGAGCGGCGAACGGGUGAGUAACACGUGGGUAAUCAACCCUCCGAUACUGGGAUAGCCCGGGGAAACCCGGGACUUAAUACCGGAUGGCCCUUUCGGAUCCUCGGAUCUGAAGGAAAAGGUAGCUUCGGCCUCCGAUCGAGGACGAGCCCGCGGCGGAUUAGCUUGUUGGUGAGGUAACGGCUCACCAAGGCGACGAUCCGUAGCUGGUCUGAGAGGACGAUCAGCCACACU